UCCAAGGAAAAGAUAUUCACGGAAACCAGGGAGAACACCAGAAAUAGCAGAAUUUGCUUUGUUAUAUACACACACACACACACACACACACACACACACACACACACACACACACACAUAUAUGAAAAGAGAGUAAAUCUAACCACCCCUUCACAUCACAUAAAAUAAAUCGAGACCCCAAUCGGAUGUAGCCAAAACAUAAUACAAUGCAGUGAUAUUUUUCUUCUUCCUAGUCGACUUGAGUAGCCAUAUUACAGUAUUACUUACAGCCAAAAACAUCGUUCUACAUUUGUUUUCCUUGCAGAUAUAACAUUCGAGAUAGUCUUCUCUUUAUUUUCCAAAUAAAAGAAUCAAUACAGGGAACCUUGUGAUUUUCAUUCUUUUACCAACUAGCUAAUUUGAUUUCGCGGAGGCUAAAAAGUGUUAAAUAUCUAAGCUUAAUUGGUAAUGUAAAACAAUGUAGUAGUCUAAACAUUCUCGGAUAAUUUUUUUAUGUUCUUG
rnacentral:lncRNA from 1 species